rnacentral:rRNA from 1 species
GUAGUAAUAGAUAUAGGCUUGAAACUUAAAGAAUUUGGCGGUAUUUUAAUCUUUUCAGAGGAACCUGUUCUAUAAUCGAUAUUCCACGUUAAAUUUUACUAAAUUAUUUAUAUAUCGUUGUCGAAAGAAUAAAUUUUCUAAAAUUUUAAAGAAAAUAGAUGUCAAAUCAAGGUGUAGUUUAUAGUUUAGUAGAAAUGGGUUACAAUAAAUUUAUUUAGAAAAUUUUGGAAGGAGGAUUUGAAAGUAAAUUAAUUUUAAUAA